AUGAACGCUAGCGGGAGGCCUAACACAUGCAAGCCGAGCGGUAGAGAUUCUUCGGGAUCUUGAGAGCGGCGUACGGGUGCGGAACACGUGUGCAACCUGCCUUUAUCUGGGGGAUAGCCUUUCGAAAGGAAGAUUAAUACCCCAUAAUAUAAGAGACGGCAUCGUUUUUUAUUGAAAACUCCGGUGGAUAGAGAUGGGCACGCGCAAGAUUAGAUAGUUGGUGAGGUAACGGCUCACCAAGUCUACGAUCUUUAGGGGGCCUGAGAGGGUGAUCCCCCACACUGGUACUGAGACACGGACCAGACUCCUACGGGAGGCAGCAGUGAGGAAUAUUGGACAAUGGGUGAGAGCCUGAUCCAGCCAUCCCGCGUGAAGGACGACGGCCCUAUGGGUUGUAAACUUCUUUUGUAUAGGGAUAAACCUACCCUCGUGAGGGUAGCUGAAGGUACUAUACGAAUAAGCACCGGCUAACUCCGUGCCAGCCGCCGCAGUAAAAC
rnacentral:rRNA from 1 species